UACGGAGGGUGCGAGCGUUGUCCGGAAUCACUGGGCGUAAAGGGCGUGUAGGCGGCCUGUUAAGUCGGGGGUGAAAUCCUGCGGCUUAACCGCAGGGCUGCCUUCUAAACUGUCAGGCUAGAGUACAGUAGAGGCAGGUGGAAUUCCCGGUGUAGCGGUGGAAUGCGUAGAGAUCGGGAAGAACAUCAGUGGCGAAGGCGGCCUGCUGGGCUGUUGCUGACGCUGAGGCGCGACAGCGUGGGGGGCAAACAGG
rnacentral:rRNA from 1 species